rnacentral:rRNA from 1 species
CCUACGGGUGGCAGCAGUGGGGAAUAUUGGACAAUGGGGGCAACCCUGAUCCAGCCAUGCCGCGUGUGUGAAGAAGGCCCUCGGGUUGUAAAGCACUUUCAGUGAGGAAGAACGCCUGGUGGUUAAUACCCAACAGGAAAGACAUCACUCACAGAAGAAGCACCGGCUAACUCCGUGCCAGCAGCCGCGGUAAUACGGAGGGUGCGAGCGUUAAUCGGAAUUACUGGGCGUAAAGCGCGCGUAGGUGGCUUGAUAAGCCGGUUGUGAAAGCCCCGGGCUCAACCUGGGAACGGCAUCCGGAACUGUCAAGCUAGAGUGCAGGAGAGGAAGGUAGAAUUCCCGGUGUAGCGGUGAAAUGCGUAGAGAUCGGGAGGAAUACCAGUGGCGAAGGCGGCCUUCUGGACUGACACUGACACUGAGGUGCGAAAGCGUGGGUAGCAAACAGGAUUAGAUACCCCUGUAGUC